rnacentral:tRNA from 1 species
UGUGGCUUGGUUGGUUAAAGCGCCGGUCUAGCGAAUACGGAGUCGUGGGAUCGAAUCCCACCA